rnacentral:antisense_RNA from 1 species
ACUCCUCGGAACCCUCGGAGGUUGCGCAUAAACAAUUUUUUCUUCCAGAACGGUCCCCCUCUCCGCCCUGGGGGAGCCGGGAGGAUGUGCAGCCCCAGUCCUCCUGCUCGGCGGAGCCUCGCGCGCGCAGAGCCUAGCGCGAUUCGCGCCCUCAUUACCACUACAAAGCGCGGGCCAGACCAAUCCCCUUUCUAAUGCACCAUUUUCGACUGAGAACAUCAAGAGGCCAGAAACUUCCAAGUCAGCUUGCAGACGCAGACGCCUCCUGGGGUCCUGGCUUUAAGAACCAGAUGCCAACAUUCCUGGACAGUUUAUGGCAUCCGGAUCCCUCAAGGGUGCUCAUCUGCAGUUGAGAGUGAUUCUGUGUGAAGAAUAGAGAGACAGACGUUCCAUUUCAAAGAAAAAAGAGCAACACGAAGGCCCUCUUUAAGGAGAGAGUAAACAUUCACUUUAGGUAAAAAAUAGUCUUUUACACGCCUGUGCACGGCACACCUCUUUUGCUGUUCACCUUGAGCCCAAGAGUUUGGAAAGGCUGCUCCCAUUUCAGAGAGGAAGAAACGCAGGCACACGUGAAUGACAGACUCCUCUGUGGUGGCCUAGACUCCAGCCAACACUUCCUAGGACAGCCUGCCAUUGUGCAAAGUCACCAUGUAACAAAUGCAGACAUCUCUGAGAUCACCAUGCAGUGAGGAAGUCUAAGCUGGUGGCAUGAAGAGGCCACAUGGAAAGGGCUAAAAAAGGGGCCAGCCUCAGUCAUCCCAGCUGAGCACCUGGCUGGGAAUAAAAGAGGACUCCGUGGAUGUUUACUCCAGGAGCUUCAGUGGUGCAUGCUGAAUGUGCUGUUUCUUGGGCUGGGGGACAGAGAUGUGCAUGCUGUUAUACACUCUAUAUUGAAAUGAUUAUAUAACAAUAUACUAAUUUAUCAUGUAAUAAAUUUGACCAGAAAAAAACAA